AUGGAGUCUUCAACUUCAGGAUAUACGGCUUCAGAAAGAACAACUAUACUUGCCAUUUCAACCUCAGCAAAACCAGCUCCAACCUCAUCAGAUUCUUCAGGUGCAACAAUGGUUAUAACUAAAGAAAGACUUGCUUCAACAACCAUGACUACGUCUUCAGAAAAGACAAAAGCAGCUGAAACAACAAAUACUGCAUCCACAGCCACAACUGAACAUUCCACUGCUACAGUUAAAACAGUGGAAACCACAACUACAGCUUCAUUAACUACAUCUACAACAAACGAUCCAAAAACAUCAACAGCUGUAACAUCAGAAUCCACAACUCUUACUUCAACAACUAUGCCUACAUCAUCAGAAACAACUGCACCUGUAACAACAUCAACAACUACAGCAUCCUCAACUACUGAAAUUUCCACCACCACAGUUGUGAAGACCGAAACAACAGCCAUUACUUCAACAACACUGCCUACAACUUCAAAAAGUACAACAGCAGAGACCACAACUAUAGCUUCAUCAACCACAUCUACAACAACAAACGAUCCAACAACAUCAACAGCUGUAACUUCAGAAUCCACAACUCUAACUUCAACAACAAUACCUACAUCUUCAGAAACAACUGUACCUGUAACAAUAUCAACAACUAAAGGAUUGUCAAUUAGUGAAAUUCCAACAACCACAGUUGUGAGUACAGAGACCACAACUACUACUUCAACAACACUGCCUACAACUACAGAUAGUACAACAGCAGAAACCACAACUACAGCUUCAUCAACCACAUCUACAACAACAAACAAUCCAGCAACAUCAACAGCUGUAACUUCAGAAUCCACAACUCUUACAUCAACAAUGCCUACAUCUUCAGAAACAAUCGCACCUGUAACAACAUCAGUAACUACAGCAUACUCAACUGCUGAAAUUCCCACAACCACAGAUGUGAGUACAGAGACCACAACUAUUACUUCAACAACACUGCCUACAACUUCAGAAAGUACAACAGCAGAGAACACAACUACAGCUUCAUCAACCACAUCUACAACAACAAAUGAUCCAACAACAUCAACAGCUGUAACUUCAGAAUCGACAACUCUUACUUCAACAAUGCCUACAUCUUCAGAAACAACUGCACCUGUAACAACAUCAGUAAUUACAGCAUCCUCAACUACUGAAAUUCCCACCAACACAGUUGUGAGGACCGAAACCACACGCAUUACUUCAACAACACUGCCUACAACUUCAGAAAGUACAACAGCAGAGACCGCAACUACAGCUUCAUCAACCACAUCUACAACAACAAAUGAUCCAACGACAUCAGCAGCUGUAACUUCAGAAUCCACAACUCUUACAUCAACAAUGCCUACAUCUUCAGAAACAACCGCACCUGUAACAAAAUCAGUAACUACAGCAUCCUCAACUACUGAAAUUCCCACCACCACAGUUGUGAGGACUGAAACCACAACUAUUACUUCAACAACACUGCCUACAACUUCAGAAAGAACAACAGCAGAGACCACAACUGCAGCUUCAUCAACCACAUCUACAACAAAAAACGAUCCAACAACAUCAACAGCUGUAACUUCUGAACCCACAACUCUUACUUCAACAACUAUGCCUACAUCUUCAGAAACAACUGCACCUGUGACAACAUCAGUAACUACAGCUUCCUCAUCUACUGAAAUCCCCACCACCACAGUUGUGAGGAACAAAACCACACCCAUUACUUCAACAACACUGCCUACAACUAAAGCUUCAUCAACCACAUCUACAACAACAAAUGAUCCAACAACAUCAGCAGCAGUAACUUCAGAAUCCACAACUCUUACUUCAACAACUAUGCUUACAUCUUCAGAUACAACUGCACCUGUAACAACAUCAGUAACUAAAGCUUCCUCAUCUACAGAAAUUCCCACAACCACAGUUGUAAGUACAGAGACCACACCUAUUACUUCAACAACAUUGCCUACAACUUUAGAAAUUACAACAGUGGAAACCACCACUACAGCUUCAUCAACCACAUCUACAAUAACAAACAAUCCAACAACAUCAACAGUAGUAACUUCAGAAUCCCUAACACUUACUUCAACAACAAUUCCUACAACUUCAAAAAGUACAACAGCAGAGACCACAACUAAAGAUUCAUCAACCACAUCUACAAAAACAAACAAUCCAGCAACAUCAACAGCUGUAACUUCAGAAUCCACAACUCUUACUUCAACAACAAUACCUACAUCUUCAGAAACAACUGCACCUGUAACAACAACAGCAACUAAAGGAUUGUCAACUAGUGAAAUUCCAACAACCACAAUUGUGAGUGCAGAGACCACAACUACUAUUUCAGAAACACUGCCUACAACUUCAGAAAGUACAACAGCAGAAACCACAACUACAGCUUCAUCAACGAUACCUACAUCUUCAGAAACAACUGCACCUGUAACAACAUCAGCAACUAAAGGAUUGUCAACUAGCGAAAUUCCAACAACCACACUUGUGAGUACAGAGACCACAGCUACUACUUCAACAACACUGCCUACAACUUCAGAAAGUACAACAGCAGAAACCACGACUACAGCUUUAUCAACCACAUCUACUGCAACACAUGAUCCAACAACAUCAACAGCUGUAACUUCUGAAUCCACAACUCUUACUUCAACAAUGCCUACAUCUUCAGAAACAACUGCACCUGUAACAACAUCAGCAACUAAAGGAUUGUCAACUAGCGAAAUUCCAACAACCACACUUGUGAGUACAGAGACCACAGCUACUACUUCAACAACACUGCCUACAACUUCAGAAAGUACAACAGCAGAGACUGCAACUACAGCUUCAUCAACCACAUCUAAAACAACUAAUGAUCCAACAACAUCAAGCAAGAACACUCCUUCAGUGGCAACAACAACUGCAUUCCCAAUAACAACUGCACCUCUAUCAAGCACAACUGUUGCUUUCACAAAUACAGUUCCAGCUCUAAGCCAGGCAACACUCAUUACCACGACAAAUGCACCUCCAAUAAUCACAA
ensembl:lncRNA